UACGAGGGGGGCAAGCGUUGUUCGGAAUUAUUGGGCGUAAAGGGCGCGUAGGCGGUCUGACAAGUCUUGUGUGAAAUCUCUGGGCUCAACCCAGAGUCUGCACAGGAAACUGUCGGGCUAGAGUAUGGGAGAGGUGCGUGGAAUUUCCGGUGUAGCGGUGAAAUGCGUAGAUAUCGGGAGGAACACCAGUGGCGAAGGCGGCGAUCUGGGAAGAUACUGACGCUGAGGUGCGAAAGCGUGGGGAGCAAACAGG
rnacentral:rRNA from 1 species